AUCUUCAGGGCGGGGUGUGAUUCCCCACCGGUGGUAUAGCCCAUGAGCCGUAAGGCAUGAUUCGGUGUGAUUCCGAGGCCGACAGUAAAGUCUGGAUGAAAGAAGAUG
rnacentral:ncRNA from 1 species